UACGUAGGGUGCAAGCGUUGUCCGGAAUUAUUGGGCGUAAAGAGCUCGUAGGCGGUCUGUCGCGUCUGCUGUGAAAACUCAGGGCUUAACCCUGAGCUUGCAGUGGGUACGGGCAGACUAGAGUGCGGUAGGGGAGACUGGAAUUCCUGGUGUAGCGGUGAAAUGCGCAGAUAUCAGGGAGGAACACCGGUGGGCGAAGGCGGGUCUCUGGGCCACAACUGACGC
rnacentral:rRNA from 1 species